GAGGUUCUGCCCGGGCUUGAACCGGGGACCUUCUUGGUGUUAACGAGAUGUUAUGACUAACUAGACCACAGUACC
rnacentral:tRNA from 1 species